GACGAACGCUGGCGGCGUGCCUAAUACAUGCAAGUUGAACGCUAAAACUUUAACUGGUGCUUGCACCGACUUAAGUUUUUAGAGUAGCGGACGGGUGAGUAACACGUGAGCAAUCUGCCCUUCACUUCGGGAUAACCCUCGGAAACGAGAGCUAAUACCGAAUACGACCACUUCAGGCAUCUGAUGGUGGUGGAAAGUUCCGGCGGUGAAGGAUGAGCUCGCGGCCUAUCAGCUUGUUGGUGAGGUAAUGGCUCACCAAGGCUUCGACGGGUAGCCGGCCUGAGAGGGUGACCGGCCACACUGGGACUGAGACACGGCCCAGACUCCUACGGGAGGCAGCAGUGGGGAAUAUUGGACAAUGGGCGAAAGCCUGAUCCAGCAACGCCGCGUGAGGGAUGACGGCCUUCGGGUUGUAAACCUCUUUCAGCACAGACGAAGCGCAAGUGACGGUAUGUGCAGAAGAAGGACCGGCCAACUACGUGCCAGCAGCCGCCGUAAUAC
rnacentral:rRNA from 1 species